rnacentral:rRNA from 1 species
AACGAACGCUGGCGGCAGGCCUAACACAUGCAAGUCGAACGAGAAGCCACCUUCGGGUGGUGGAAAGUGGCAGACGGGUGAGUAACGCGUGGGAACGUGCCUUUCGGUUCGGGAUAACCCAGGGCAACUUGGGCUAAUACCGGAUACGCCCUUCGGGGGAAAGAUUCAUUGCCGAAAGAUCGGCCCGCGUCGGAUUAGCUAGUUGGUGGGGUAAGAGCCUACCAAGGCGACGAUCCGUAGCUGGUCUGAGAGGAUGACCAGCCACACUGGGACUGAGACACGGCCCAGACUCCUACGGGAGGCAGCAGUGGGGAAUAUUGGACAAUGGGCGGAAGCCUGAUCCAGCCAUGCCGCGUGGGUGAAGAAGGCCUUAGGGUUGUAAAUCCCUUUCAGCGGGGACGACAAUGACGGUACCCGCAGAAGAAGUCCCGGCUAACUCCGUGCCAGCCGCCGCCGUAAUAC